rnacentral:rRNA from 1 species
AUUGAACGCUGGCGGCAUGCCUUACACAUGCAAGUCGGACGGCAGCACGGGUGCUUGCACCUGGUGGCGAGUGGCGAACGGGUGAGUAAUACAUCGGAACGUACCUUAUCGUGGGGGAUAACGCAGAGAAAGCUGUGCUAAUACCGCAUACGCCCUGCGGGGGAAAGCGGGGGAUCGCAAGACCUCGCGCGAUUAGAGCGGCCGAUGCCUGAUUAGCUAGUUGGUGGGGUAAAAGCCCACCAAGGCGACGAUCAGUAGCUGGUCUGAGAGGACGAUCAGCCACACUGGGACUGAGACACGGCCCAGACUCCUACGGGAGGCAGCAGUGGGGAAUUUUGGACAAUGGGGGCAACCCUGAUCCAGCAAUGCCGCGUGAGUGAAGAAGGCCUUCGGGUUGUAAAGCUCUUUUGUCAGGGAAGAAACACCGGCUCUAACACAGUCCGGGAAUGACGGUACCUGAAGAAUAAGCACCGGCUAACUACGUGCCAGCCGCCGCCGUAA